rnacentral:sRNA from 1 species
CUGAAAACAUCUACAACGUAAAUGCGCCACCCACC